ACACGUGGUAUCCUGUCUGAAUAUGGGGGGACCAUCCUCCAAGGCUAAAUACUCCUGACUGACCGAUAGUGAACCAGUACCGUGAGGGAAAGGCGAAAAGAACCCCGGCGAGGGGAGUGAAAAAGAACCUGAAACCGUGUACGUACAAGCAGUGGGAGCACGCUUAGGCGUGUGACUGCGUACCUUUUGUAUAAUGGGUCAGCGACUUAUAUUCUGUAGCAAGGUUAACCGAAUAGGGGAGCCGAAGGGAAACCGAGUCUUAACUGGGCGUUAAGUUGCAGGGUAUAGACCCGAAACCCGGUGAUCUAGCCAUGGGCAGGUUGAAGGUUGGGUAACACUAACUGGAGGACCGAACCGACUAAUGUUGA
rnacentral:rRNA from 1 species